rnacentral:ncRNA from 1 species
GAGAGCACAGUACGAUGAAAGUUGUAAGCUUUGUUCGGAGGGGAGUUAUUGUCUAUCGUUGGCCUCUAUGGUAGAAUCAGUUGGGGGGCCUGAGAGGCGGUCAAAUAUUCCCCCAU